UAUGGGUGAAGCUGUAUAGGCGAAAUGAACUUGGCAUCUACAAUACUCUCAUGUAUGAACUGCGUGUAGAGGAAAUUGCAGAGUAUACGCGAUUUUUAAGAAUGCCGCCGAAUAUUUUUGAUGAGCUCCUAAAACUCAUAGAAGUUGACAUUGAAAAAAACCAACGCAUUUGCGAGACCCAAUUCCUGCUAAAAUCAAAGUAGCUGCAACUUUGAAGUUUUUCUUAUGUGGGAUAAAUAACGCCGAAUUACAGUAUUUAUUUCGCGUUCACAAAAGUACUUUGUCACAGUUCAUCGCUGAAGUUUGCGAAGCUAUUUACAUGCGAUUAAAAGAAGAAUACCUCAAGCCAAAGUUGUGGAAAACUAAAUUUUUGGAAGAGGCAUUACACCCGAAUUACCGCAUCGCUGUUAGCACUCCACUUGAUCACGCUAUUAACCUGCACCAAGAGGCCCACGAAAGUAUGGAACAGUGUUUAUCAAAAUCAAUUUCAGAUGAAAUUCCUUUUGAUUUUCUUCUAUUAUUAUUAUUUAACCAGUAAUAUUGACUUGAAACUCAAGAGCUAACACCAAUCUAAUUCCCAGGACUUUUUAAAUUUAUUACGUUAUACACCACUCCAAUUAAUAUCUAAUUGUGAACUGAUUAGUGAACUGUACCACUAUCGACACCCAAAAAUUGAUUAUUUACUUUUUACGCUAAUCUAAUGAUUGAUCUAGCCAAAAAAAAUUGUAGCCAGAUCAAAGCCACAUCUGCAUUUUUAGAAAAGUUUAGUAGGAAUACGGUCCAGCCAAUACAGGCGUUCUUUUUUGGGUGGGGGUUUUAAGGAAUGUAUUUAUUUUGUAAGAUGACCAAACAUUUUGUGAAACAAAUACUUUGGGGCCGGGUAGAAGUAGUAGGCAACCUCGUUCUCAGAACUUUUGUCUCUCGCCGACGCUGCGCUUAUUGACGAUAAUGAGAGACAUAAAACCUUGGAAACGAGAUCGUCUGAAAAGCUAAUUUAUUUUGUUCUGGAAUAUUUUUGUUUACAUA